rnacentral:rRNA from 1 species
GAUCCUGGCUCAGGAUGAACGCUAGCUACAGGCUUAACACAUGCAAGUCGAGGGGCAGCAUGGUCUUAGCUUGCCAAGGCUGAUGGCGACCGGCGCACGGGUGAGUAACACGUAUCCAACCUGCCGUCUACUCUUGGCCAGCCUUCCGAAAGGAAGAUUAAUCCAGGAUGGGAUCAUGAGUUCACAUGUCCGCAUGAUUAAAGGUAUUUUCCGGUAGACGAUGGGG